rnacentral:tRNA from 1 species
AAAAUCCGUCGAUUUUAGAAAUCGUGAGG